CUUUGAAUCCUGGAGUACGAAUUCUCCUUUUCAGUAAGAAUGAAAAAAAGGAAAAAAAAAAGCAAUGUAAACGAACUCGUGGCGGUGUCUAAUGCUAACACUAAUCAAGUUCUCAAUAAGUAUUAAAGAGGAAGAAAUGCUUUUAUCGUCUAGAGAUAACAUUCUGCAAGAUUUAGUGAUGAUGAAGUGAUAAAAUGUGCGAUUAAUUCCAGAAUAAUGAGAGGUGGGGCAUGGAUUAGAAGAAUCAAGAUUGGGUACAUGGGGGUGGGUGAUCAUUAUACCAUUCUUCCUAUUUUGUAUUGAAUUUUUCCAUAAUAAAAAUGUUGAAAAAC